CGCGGGGUUGGGGGGGGAGGAGGGCGCGCGUGGUGCCGGCGGGUAGCGGCGGCGCCCCCUCCUCCUCCGCCUCCUCCUCCUCCUCCGGCGCCGCGGGCUCCUCGGACAUGGCCGCGGCUGUGGCGGUGGCCGCCGCGUCUCGGCGGCAGUCGUGCUACCUGUGUGACCUGCCCCGCAUGCCCUGGGCCAUGAUCUGGGACUUCACCGAGCCCGUGUGCCGCGGCUGCGUCAACUACGAGGGCGCCGACCGCGUCGAGUUCGUCAUCGAGACGGCGCGGCAGCUCAAGCGGGCGCACGGCUGCUUCCCGGAGGGCCGCUCCCCGCCCGGCGCCGCGGCCCCGGCCGCCGCUAAGCCGCCGCCGCUCUCGGCCAAGGACCUUCUCCUGCAGCAGCAGCAGCAGCUCGGCCACGGCGGCCCUGAGGCCGCCCCGCGCGCUCCUCAGGCCUUGGAGCGCUACCCUCUGGCGGCCGCCGCAGCCGAGCGGCCCCCGCGCCUGGGCUCCGACUUCGGCGGCAGCCGCCCGGCCGCCGCCCUGGCCCAGCCGCCGACGCCGCAGCCGCCGCCUGUGAACGGCAUCCUGGUGCCCAACGGUUUCUCCAAGCUGGAGGAGCCGCCGGAGCUGAACCGCCAGAGCCCGAACCCGCGGCGCGGCCACGCCGUGCCGCCCACCCUGGUGCCGCUCAUGAACGGCUCGGCCACACCGCUGCCCGCCGCGCUUGGCCUGGGCGGCCGUGCCGCCGCCUCGCUGGCCGCCGUGUCCGGGGCCGCGGCCGCCGGCCUGGGCUCGGCGCAGCCCGCCGAGAUGGGCGCCCACAAGCGGCCGGCGUCCGUGUCGAGCAGCGCGGCCGCGGAGCACGAGCAGCGCGAGGCGGUGGCCAAGGAGAAGCAGCCGCCGGCGGCCUCGCACCGCGGCCCGGCCGACAGCUUGUCCACCGCGGCCGGGGCGGCCGAGCUGGGCAGCGAGGGCGCAGGCAAAGGCCGCGGGCCGGGCGAGCAGGACUGGGUCAACCGGCCCAAGACCGUGCGAGACACGCUGCUGGCGCUGCACCAGCACGGCCACUCGGCGCCGUUCGAGAGCAAGUUUAAGAAGGAGCCGGCCCUGACUGCAGGCAGGUUGUUGGGUUUCGAGGCCAACGGGGCCAACGGGUCUAAAGCAGUUGCAAGAACAGCAAGGAAAAGGAAGCCUUCUCCUGAGCCAGAAGGUGAAGUUGGGCCCCCUAAGAUCAAUGGAGAGGCCCAGCCGUGGCUGUCUACAUCCACAGAAGGGCUCAAGAUCCCCAUUACUCCUACAUCCUCUUUUGUGUCGCCACCACCACCCACUGCCUCACCUCAUUCCAACCGGACCACACCGCCUGAAGCGGCCCAGAACGGCCAGUCCCCCAUGGCAGCCCUGAUCUUAGUAGCAGACAAUGCAGGGGGCAGUCAUGCCUCGAAAGAUGCCAACCAGGUGCACUCCACCACCAGACGGAACAGCAGCAGUCCACCCUCUCCGUCCUCUAUGAACCAAAGAAGGCUGGGCCCCCGAGAGGUGGGGGGCCAAGGGGCAGGCGGCGCCGGAGGACUGGAGCCAGUGCACCCCGCCAGCCUCCCGGACUCCUCUCUGGCCGCCAGCGCCCCACUGUGCUGCACCCUCUGCCAUGAGCGGCUGGAGGACACCCACUUUGUGCAGUGCCCUUCUGUUCCUUCGCACAAGUUCUGCUUCCCCUGCUCCAGACAAAGCAUCAAACAGCAGGGAGCUAGUGGAGAGGUCUAUUGUCCCAGUGGGGAAAAAUGCCCUCUUGUGGGCUCCAAUGUCCCCUGGGCCUUCAUGCAAGGGGAGAUUGCAACCAUCCUUGCUGGAGAUGUGAAAGUGAAAAAAGAGAGAGACUCGUGACUUUCCGGUUUCAGAAAAGCCCAAUGAUUAAUCUUAACUAAAACUGCUUGAAUUGUAUAUAUAUCUCCACAUAUAUAUAUAUCCAAGACAAGGGAAAUGUAGACUUCAUAAACAUGGCUGUAUAAUUUUGAUUUUUUUGAAUACAUGUGUUUCUAUUUUUUUUUUGACGACAAAAGCUUGCAGUUCAGCCAGCCAUCCUGCAAUAGUAGAUUGGAAAGAGAAGAUAGUGACGACAUUGAAAAGAUUGUCAAGACAUGGAGUUGCUCGCUGGGAAGCAGUGGAAGAAAACAGCGAUGUUGGGCCAGAGAAAAUUCACUGCAGACGAAAGAAAAAAGCCUACCUUUUGGAAAGCUUUAGAAUAAAGUCACGAGCCAAAGCCAUGUGUGAGCUUUAUUGAUGCUCUGAAACCUAAAUUUAUAAAUGGAGAUAAAAGGUGGAAAGCACUGAGAUAAAGAUAUUUUUAACAAACUCCUGUCUACUAUCACAUAGUAAGAAAUUUCCUAGAUGUUUGCAGCUUUUACUCAUUGAUUAAUGGCUUGGCAGACUUCUCUACAAAAGGAACUUGUGAAACUUACUACAGUGUUUAAGAUCAGGGAACAGUGAGAGGACACGCCUUUCCUCUGUCACAGACCAAGGGCAGAGGCACCAAUGAAUGGAAUACAGAUUUACCUACUUCAUCA